rnacentral:rRNA from 1 species
CGUAGGGUGCAAGCGUUAAUCGGAAUUACUGGGCGUAAUGCGUGCGCAGGCGGUUAUGCAAGACAGAUGUGAAAUCCCCGGGCUCAACCUGGGAACUGCAUUUGUGACUGCAUAGCUAGAGUACGGUAGAGGGGGAUGGAAUUCCGCGUGUAGCAGUGAAAUGCGUAGAUAUGCGGAGGAACACCGAUGGCGAAGGCAAUCCCCUGGACCUGUACUGACGCUCAUGCACGAAAGCGUGGGGAGCAAACAGGAUUAGAUACCCUGGUAGUCCACGCCCUAAACGAUGUCAACUGGUUGUUGGGAGGGUUUCUUCUCAGUAACGUAGCUAACGCGUGAAGUUGACCGCCUGGGGAGUACGGCCGCAAGGUUG